CUCACCAACUUAAAACAAAAAGAAAAAGAAAAUCAAAUGAAGAAAGAGAAGAAGCUGCAACAUACCAUUUUGGUUUGUGUUUACUAAUUGGAAAUGCCCGCAACUUGCCAAGUCGUGACAAAGUUCAUAUUAAAAUAAUUUAAAAACAGAAAAGGAAAAGAAGAAAUGGUAGGCAGAAGAAAUGGUAGGCGAGCAAUUCAGACUUUGGCAAAUUGCAUUUGCAAAUUGCAAAUAGCCUACUCUCAUUGGCUGCUUGGGAGGCAUCUAUGGCUAUAAAUAGAGACAUUGUUUUCCAUUUGAAAGGGGGACGAUUUAGGAGAACAACAAUUGAAGGAGAAGCUGCAAAUAUAAUUCUUCCCAUUCUUUAGCUUCUUCUUCUUCUACAAUUUAUUCAAUCUUUCAGUAUCGGAAACUAUUCUAGUUCCUACUUUUAAUUAAAUAGCGGAAUUAUUCUUCUUGAAUAUUUCUUCUAUUUUCUUAUUUAAUGGACAAAGAUAUUUCUAUUAGUGGUACUAGCUAGCUCCAGUAUGGAGUAACGUUUCUUAUGUUGGGAGAAUGACGGAUCUUGAUAUUUCUAUAUAAUAGUAGAUAUUAUUCCACAAUUUUACGUGUUUGAGCUGAAGCUUUCUAUUUAACUUUUAUCUGCUUUACAGUUAGAUGUUAUUUUAUUUGUUAACGUCUAUCUAAUUUAUACUACAAAUUAGCAUUUUGCUAAUUUUGUAAUCGAGAGAGGCGGAAGAAGUAACAUAGUUAAUUGUGGUAUUGAUAGAUGUUAACAUUUAUUUAGUAACAUCUAUCUAUUUUAUGUUAUAAUUAAUUUUACACUUAUUUGUAAUCGAGAGAGGCGGAUAGUGUAGUAAUUAGUUAUAGCAAGUAAGGUAACCGAAAAGGACUUACUAAAAAGAGCAUGUUUCAGUUCAAGCAUAUAUUUCUGGUUCUUUAAUAUUAAUAUUUUGAUAAUUAAUCUGUAUAACUGAGAGGAGUGCAAUUAAUUGUUCAACUUAAGUAAUAAUAUAUAAAUGUAAUCGCGAGAGGCAUUUAUACAUUUUUGAGAAAUAGAAAUGGAAGAAUAAAAGAAUUUGCUUUAUAAUAGAUAUAUCGAGUGAAGUCAGGAACCCAACACCUUUUAUUAUAAUUUUGAAAACCAAAAAGGAAUAAUUUCUCUAAUUCUCUUUUUAAUUAUUAAUUAGUUAAUUCACCCCUCAACUCUUUCUGAUUGUCUCAAAUAGUAAUUAAAACAAGAAACGUCUGUAGAAUAGAUAAACCAAUCUCUGUGGGUUCGACAUCUUUCUAUACUAUUAUUUGACAAGGGUACGAGUAAAAAUUUAUAUACGCCAGACACUUGUCAGUCUAUGAUAGUUCUUGUCAAUGAGUUAUUAUAGAUCAUAAUCGUUUAUUAUCAGUUAUGUCUAUUAAUAGACCCAUCACACUUAACUUUAUUUCGACUGACAACAACAGUAAUAAAAUAAAAAAUUGUUAAAUUUACAACGGUAACAAUCAACCCUUCCCUAUAUAAAAUCGACUCAAAAUUCAAACUCAUCCAUUGUCUCUUUUCAUGAUCCAACACCUCCAUAGUCUCUUUUCUUGAUCAAACUCCUCCAUUAUUUUUUUUCUUGAUCAGAACACCCAAAAUGUCUCAGCUAUCUGAAACAUCUCAACCACAAGAUCCCGACAUUUAUUUCUGCAGUGAAUACACUGUCUUAAAGACAUUAGGCACCACAAAAAAUCCAGGUCGCAGAUUCUUUGAUUGCGCAGUUAGAACUGUGAGUUUCUAAUUCCCAAGGUUUAUUGAUCCACACCCGACACAACAGCAAAAAAAUCUCAAAUGAGCCCUGGACCUAGAAGGAGCCCAGGUGGAUGUGAGACACCAACAUCAAAAGGCUUAAUCAAAUUUGAACUGCAAAACAUGCUCAAAGAAUCUUUAGAGAACGGGGAAUUACUUCAGUCAUUAUUAAGAGAAUCUGAAGAAAAGAAGGAUCACUUGAAAGACAUGCUGAGAGAGACCACAAUUGAGAGGGAUGAACUAAAACAGAGGUUGAUGGUGGCUGAAAAGAAAGUGAAUGGACUAAGGAUGCUUUUGUAUGGUUUAUUAGCGGUAUUUGCUAUAUGGAAAUAUGUAAUAGGGCUAUAGUGGGAUUAGGUCUUUCAUUCUGGGUGUAUGAACAAUUACGAACAAUUUGAAGCUGGUUUUAUUUAUAUGAAAAAAUAUAUGUGUUUGUCUUCAAGCUUUAUAACAUCUCUAUUGAGUUUGCUUAUAAA